rnacentral:misc_RNA from 1 species
GAUGAAGAACGUAGCGAAAUGCGAUAAGUAAUGUGAAUUGCAGAAUUCAGUGAAUCAUCGAAUCUUUGAACGCACAUUGCGCCCCUUGGUAUUCCGGGGGGCAUGCCUGUUCGAGCGUCAUUUCAACCCUCAAGCUUCUGCUUGGUCUUGGGCCGUGCCGGCAACGGCUGGCCUUAAAACUAGUGGCGGUGCCAUCGAGCUCUACGCGUAGUAAUUCUAUCUCGCGUCUGGGCUUCGGUGGACGCUGGCCAGCAACCCCCAAUUUUCUAUGGUUGACCUCGGAUCAGGUAGGGAUACCCGCUGAACUUAAGCAUAUCAUAAGCGGAGGA